UAUUGCACAAUGGUCGCAAGCCUGAUGCAGCCAUGCCGCGUGUAUGAAGAAGGCCUUCGGUUUGUAAAGUACUUUCAGCGGGGAGGAAGGGAGUAACGUUAAUACCUUUACUCAUUGACGUUACCCGCAGAAGAAGCACCGGCUAACUCCGUGCCCGCAGCCGCGGUAAUACGGAGGGUGCCAGCGUUAAUCGGAAUCACUGGGCGUAAAGCGCACGCAGGCGGUUUGUUAAGUCAGAUGUGAAAUCCCCGGGCUCAACCUGGGAACUGCAUCUGAUACUGGCAAGCUUGAGUCUCGUAGAGGGGGGUAGAAUUCCAGGUGUAGCGGUGAAAUGCGUAGAGAUCUGGAGGAAUACCGGUGGCGAAGGCGGCCCCCUGGACGAAGACUGACGCUCAGGUGCGAAAGCGUGGGGAGCGAA
rnacentral:rRNA from 1 species